rnacentral:rRNA from 1 species
UACAGAGGGGGCAAGCGUUGUUCGGAAUUACUGGGCGUAAAGGGCGCGUAGGCGGCCUGCUAAGUCGAACGUGAAAUCCCCGAGCUCAACUCGGGAACUGCGUCCGAUACUGGCGGGCUUGAAUCCGGGAGAGGGAUGCGGAAUUCCAGGUGUAGCGGUGAAAUGCGUAGAUAUCUGGAGGAACACCGGUGGCGAAGGCGGCAUCCUGGACCGGCAUUGACGCUGAGGCGCGAAAGCCAGGGGAGCAAACGGG